UGAGCUUUGACCAGUGAGAGUAGAAUAUGUAAUUUAAGAGACUUGAGAACGAGGAGACAUCUUGAAUAUGUGAAACUGGUGGAUUCAUUGCCUGCUAUUGUACAGAUGAGGCUUCACUGCAAACUGGCUCCGCCUUCCCGGGUGUCACUCACAGCAGGCCGCUCCUCUCCUCCUCCUCCAAACGCCUGCGUCACCGCCAGCCGCCUCGAUACAGCCACUCACCACUGUCGCUGAGGUCUUCCGUCCUUCGCUUGGCCAGCACAGACUAGCCGCCCAUGGCGGCCGAAGUGGAGAACACGCUACCGCUGCCGCUGGACGUCUCAAAGUCAGCUGGCUCCGCCUUCCCGGGUGUCACUCACAGCAGGCCGCUCCUCUCCUCCUCCUCCAAACGCCUGCGUCACCGCCAGCCGCCUCGAUACAGCCACUCACCACUGUCGCUGAGGUCUUCCAUCCUUCGCUUGGCCAGCACAGACUAGCCGCCCAUGGCGGCCAAAGUGGAGAACACGCUACUGCUGCCGCUGGACAUCUCAAAGUCAGAGUUUUCAACAGAUGAUUUCAAGCAGUGCUAUAUCAGGGCACACUGCCAUCCUGUGCUGGCCCCAACCCAAACAUCUGAUGUCACACGAGGGGGCAGGGAUACUGCCAGUCAGCUCUACACACUACAAGGUUCAUGGAGCAGCACUGAAGCAGGGGUGCUUUUACAGGCUCCUGGCUAGCCAGAUGGCAAUGGCCUGCACCCUGGACAAUAGCACAAUGAGCUCGUCUCUCCUAUGGUCCAGAUUUUAAGCACAAGUCCUAUUUCAAGUUUGAGUCGUUAUCUAACUUCACAAUUUAAGAAAAAUAAAUUUUGAGUACCGUUGCCCUUUAAAGUCAUCUGGACAUAGAAAACGUCUACAUUAUAAAUAUCAUGAAAAUUAUAUGAAUGCUAACUAUGCAAAUCUAUGGAUUUGCUGUCGAAAAAGAUGGCUAAUGA